rnacentral:rRNA from 1 species
UACGAAGGGGGCUAGCGUUGCUCGGAAUCACUGGGCGUAAAGGGUGCGUAGGCGGGUCUUUUAAGUCAGGGGUGAAAUCCUGAAGCUCAACUCCAGAACUGCCUUUGAUACUGAGGAUCUUGAGUUCGGGAGAGGUGAGUGGAACUGCGAGUGUAGAGGUGAAAUUCGUAGAUAUUCGCAAGAACACCAGUGGCGAAGGCGGCUCACUGGCCCGAUACUGACGCUGAGGCACGAAAGCGUGGGGAUCAAACAGG